CUCUCCUGGGAUGGGCGGAGCCUCUCGCGAGGCUCAGCCUGUACCCACAGAGCCGGUUCCCGACGCUCAGCGGCGCCGCGUCCUGAGGAAACGCUGGGCGGGCGCCAGUCUCGAGGAAGCCCUCGGGGGCGCAGGCGCGGACCCGCAGGGUUUUCCGGCUUCUGAUUCGUUCACGGUCUAGGACACGUAAAACGCACACGUCGGCGUAAAAUAAAAUUCCUUUAUUCGCUUAUUUAAGCUUUUGGCCAAACUUUGUUAUGUGCAGAAUCUUGAGCUCCUGGGUGUGCAAAGGUGAAGGCCCUGCCUUUGAGCAGCGGCUGUCCCCGUAGGAGACCCCCCGCUGCGCGCGGGCGUGUGUGUGUUCUGCGUGCGCGCGUCGAGGUGCGUGCGCGUAGGGACAGGUGGACGGUGGCGGCGCUGCGGAAACCUGCGGCUGGAACUUGGGAGAGCUGUGCAGUCCGCGUCUCUCGCAAGGAUGGGCGCUCCGCGGGGAGGAAGUGAAGGCAGGCAGGGGAAGCAGGUUCUAUAAAUCCUUAAGGGACCCUUGGGCUUGGGAAUGGAGUGUUGGAGAUGGAAACCAGGGCUUCGUGCAUGUGAGACAAGUGCUUUACCACUGACUUACACUCCAGGCCCCCGAAAUCUGGUUUUUAACUUUUGUUUUGAAAAACAGUAUGUUGGAAAAUGGGCACACCUUGAGACCAUAAUGUUAAGUGAAAUAAAAUCAGACACACAAGUUUAAA